rnacentral:rRNA from 1 species
AGUGAACGCUGGCGGCAGGCCUAAUACAUGCAAGUCGAACGGCAGCACAGUGGAUCUUGCUCCAUGGGUGGCGAGUGGCGGACGGGUGAGGAAUACAUGGGAAUCUGCCCAGUCGUGGGGGAUAACGUAGGGAAACUUACGCUAAUACCGCAUGCGCCCUUCGGGGGAAAGCCGGGGACCUUCUGGCCUGGCGCGAUUGGAUGAGCCCAUGUUCGAUUAGCUAGUUGGCGGGGUAAAGGCCCACCAAGGCGACGAUCGAUAGCUGGUCUGAGAGGAUGAUCAGCCACACUGGGACUGAGACACGGCCCAGACUCCUACGGGAGGCAGCAGUAGGGAAUAUUGGACAAUGGGCGCAAGCCUGAUCCAGCCAUGCCGCGUGAGUGAAGAAGGCCCUCGGGUUGUAAAGCUCUUUUGUCCGGGAAGAAAAGCAUCGGGCUAAUACCUCGGUGUUCUGACGGUACCGGAAGAAUAAGCACCGGCUAACUUCGUG